UCAGUGCAGGGGUAAAACGAUAAUUUUAAAAUUUUUUCAAAAUUAUAAUUUUAUAGUGGAAAUUAUUAAUUAAUCUAAUUAAUUAACAUGUAUUAAUCCUAUACAAGGAUCUAAAUAUGAUAUAUAUAGCAUAUAUUUAAAUUUAAAAUUUUGAAUUCUACAGUAAACAUUUUACUGUUAUGUGUUCAGAACAUAUUACCUUCGUGCAAGUAGUCGAUCACUGUAGUCUGACACCGUCAGGAUAGUCUGAUCAUUGCAAUGUAGCCACACAGUAUGUCUGACCUCUAC
rnacentral:lncRNA from 1 species